UAGCCGAAGAUGGCCGAAGGUGUCCGAUGUGAUCACACCUGCCAAUUCUCCAGGCUCCAAGAUCGACAGAUAAUCAAUCGGCGAUCAAUACGGGACUUUCUACUUGUAAUUAAUGGUUGUUUGAGGAGGAAGGCCAGUCAAUUUGCAAGUAACGGUACAAAUAAAUUGAACAAGAUUAUAAAAGCGAAAACCGCGAUUUAUGCAAACCCAGUGGCAUCGUAUGGCAGUUUAACACAAAAGUAAAUAAAGCAACCACUCGGUGCUGGACAGUGAAUACCUUCCUUCAUUCAUGGAGCGCCGCGCCUUGUUUCGUCCGGCGGACCGUCCGCCGGUUAGACGGCUAUUUUCUAAAUAUCCCCUCUCUCGAAUCCGCCGACGACCGACACGGAUGUGGUCGACGCCGGCAGUCGACGUGCGUUUGCUGCAUUGCCGACGAUGCAGUGCGCUGAUAAUAGCUUUGAAUGUUGCCGCCGCCGCCGCGCUAUUCUCUACCGCAGACACGCUCUGCCGACUGUUCACAGUGAUAUCGCUUUCAAGAGAUGUUAUUGUAUAGGUUUUGAAAUGACACAUCUGUACGUCUAAAGGCACGAGUAAUAUGGCAAAAGAUAGAGAAUUGUGGAGGGAACAAACAUUUUGCGCCGACCCCAGAUGAUGGGACAAGGUAAGGCAAAUUAUGAGAAGGCACGAGUAAACCUUUAGAACAUUAUACUUAUAUGUUCUUAUAUCUGUGGUGUAAACCGUCUCGCAGUAAUUGAAAAUGUUGCGGUCGAGUUGAAAGUUGCAAUACACUCGACAACUCAGGAAGGACAACCUUGGAAACUGCUGAAAACAAUGUUUGAGGAUAGAUCAACAAAUGAACGUACAUUAAAGAAGAAAUAAUUCAACAGGCUGACUGUUGACUUAUUACUUCUUUAAUCUACUUUAACGACGUGAAAAAUCUCGUAAUGAAAUUGUUUUUAUUGUGAUGUCACUCAUAUGUCAAUUUGAAUGCUCCAUCAAUCUCCCGACGGCCGGGAAUCAAUCUCCAUUGGCUUGAUGGACGUCAGUCUGCGUGUUCACCAGGAAGGACUAACGAGUUGCCAGGGCGAGGCUGCGAAUCUAUGUCCGAGGUGGACUCUGAAUUGUAUGGAGUUUUCAAAAUUUUGAAGUAAUCUAAUAAAAAAUAUA